GUUAUCAUCUAUAGUAUAGGAGUUGGUAUCUCGGGGUAGUAUAAGGAGGAUGGGAGAGGGGAAGAAAAUACCAGACUAUGAGAGUUGUGAGCCGAAAUAAGCUUGGUGCUACUUCUUUUCUUUUGUUUGUUAUUUUCUUUGAAUAAGAAGAUUGAAUGUUUCUGAAUAUUGUAAAAUGAAUUAUGGAAUGGAAAUGUGAUUGCUAUUAUUUGAGAAGAAGAAAGAUUGAAUGCUGAAAUCUGAUUGUAGUUCAGUAGAGAGAAUGAGUCUAUGUUUGUAUGAAACACUGUAAUAUGAAUGGCAGUUCUGUGUGAAGAAUUCCAGUGAUUGGAACCAGGGUAAUUGUGUAUUGAAAGCUGUGAGGGCACAAUAUUUCAAUUGGAGAUUAUGAGGGUGAAUAUAUUGGUGGAAAUAGCAAUUAUUGGUAUGACUGAAUUACUGUAAGGAAGAGACCGAUAAGGUGAAGGAGGAGAUUAUAGUUUCCUUGUAUGUUCAGAUAUUGGAAAUAGAGAUGAUACAUUCAGGAGGUAAUUGAUUGUGUGAUCCUAACGUGAAUGCUUAAGCAACUAGUCAUUCUCCGUGUUCGAAUCCCUUUAUAUGGAUUUAUGGUGGGAGGUUUCUUUCGGAAUAAGUAAAACGAGCAAUCACAAUUUGGGACCGCUGCAGAGGAGUGAUAAUAGCUUUGAGUGUUAGGAAUUAAUUACCAAACGUGUGAAAAAAUUGACAAUGGAAGACGAUUUCAGUAGUGUUUUAAGAAAGAGUAUGGUUAUUAAGAAUGAGAAUUUAACACCAAAGAGAAUAAAGCAAUCAAAGAAAAGAACAGAGCGAUCGCAAGCAAGAAAUUUGUUGC
rnacentral:lncRNA from 1 species